rnacentral:misc_RNA from 1 species
AACGCACAUUGCGCCCUUUGGUAUUCCGAGGGGCAUGCCUGUUCGAGCGUCAUUUCGACCGUCAAGCACCGCUUGGUCUUGGGCGUCGGUCCCGCAGCGACCCGCCCGCAACUCGUUGGCGGCACCGCCCGGCUCCAAGCGUAGCAGGAACAUUCCGCUUCAGGAGCUCGCGGCGAGUGCUAGCCCCCUAAGGUGGAGGGUUCGCCCCCCGUAGUUUGACCUCGGAUCAGGUAGGGAUACCCGCUGAACUUAA